GGGUUAUAUGGAUUUGGGGCUAUUCUAUUCUGACAAUCCAGAUUUUAAUGUGACUGCCUUUUCAGACAGUGACUGGGCUGCUUACCCUGACACUCAUAGAUCUGUCACUGGCUUUUUUGUGCAAUUGCGUGACAAUUUAGUCAGUUGGAAGUCUAAGAAGCAGCCAGUGGUCUCCCAGUCCUCUGCUGAGGCAGAAUACAGGGCCCUCAGUAAGGUGGUUGCUGAGUUGUCUUGGUUAUCUCGUUUACUCACUGACAUUGGUAUCUCUGUUGCUUUUCCUUUGUCUGUUUACUGUGAAAAUCAGGCAUCCAUCCAUAUUGCUAAGAAUCCGGUGUUUCGUGAGCGGACCAAGCACAUUGAAGUCGACUGUCAUUUUGUUCAUACCAAGCUUUUGUCUGUUUACUGUGACAAUCAGGCAGCCAUCCAUAUUGCUAAAAAUCCGGUGUUUCAUGAGCGGACCAAGCACAUUGAAGUCGACUGUCAUUUUGUUCAUACCAAACUUGCAAAUGGCUUGAUUUCCCUUUCUCAUGUGUCAACUUCACACCAACUCGCUGAUGUUCUCACCAAGCCCCUGCCUGGCUCUGCUCACCAUUAUCUUUUGUCCAAGUUGAAGGUGGUCUCCCCCUCCAACUUGAGGGGUGGUGUUUAGCUAAAGGAUUACUUAGCCUCCAAGCCCAAACACAAACAUUCAUAACUGUUGUAUAUUCAGUGUAUCAUUAUUGUAUGUUGUAUAUUGUAUGUAUAACAGACUUUGGGCUAGAAUAUGUGUUUUAUUUUGGGCCUAUUUCUAUUCGGGUUAGACUGGCCCAAUCCGAAAUGUAACCCUGACCCACGCUUGAUAUAGGGUCAGAGGAUUCUAGAUUUUUCAGUUUUUAGUCGGUU
rnacentral:lncRNA from 1 species